UAGGGAAUCUUCCACAAUGGGCGCAAGCCUGAUGGAGCAACACCGCGUGAGUGAAGAAGGGUUUACGGCUCGUAAAGCUCUGUUGUUAAAGAAGAACACGUAUGAGAGUAACUGUUCAUACGUUGACGGUAUUUAACCAGAAAGUCACGGCUAACUACGUGCCAG
rnacentral:rRNA from 1 species